rnacentral:rRNA from 1 species
AUUGAACGCUGGCGGCAUGCCUACACAUGCAAGUCGAACGGCAGCACGGGGGCAACCCUGGUGGCGAGUGGCGAACGGGUGAGUAAUGCAUCGGAACGUGCCCAGUAGUGGGGGAGUAACUAGUCGAAAGAUUAGCUAAUACCGCAUACGACCUAUGGGUGAAAGCGGGGAGUUCGCAAGAACCUCGCGCUAUCGGAGCGGCCGAUGUCUGAUUAGCUAGNGGCGGGGUAAAGGCCCACCAAGGCUUCGAUCAGUAGCUGGUCUGAGAGGACGACCAGCCACACUGGGACUGAGACACGGCCCA